rnacentral:sRNA from 1 species
GUCCCGCCUCCUCGGAUUUAGCCCAGGCAGCCUGGGAGGUUCCGCAGUCGCCGCUUCCGCCUUGACCAGGUGGAGCUGGAGACCUGGUCUCUCUAGGGCCUACCCUGGGCUGAACAUCUGAAGGAGAGUGCCAUCAUCCUUAGGAACUCCUUCUCCGGACAUGCUUCCUGAGGCCGGCUCCCUGUGGCUACUGAAGCUGCUCCGGGACAUCCAGUUGGCCCAGUUUUACUGGCCCAUCCUUGAGGAGCUUAAUGUCACUCGGCCAGAGCACUUCGACUUUGUAAAGCCCGAGGACCUGGACGGCAUUGGCAUGGGCCGGCCUGGUGAGGGACCCCUGCCCCGAGGUCCUGGUCUCUCUGUCCACAGCCUAUCAGUUGCCUUCCCCCACCACAACCCUCUUCCAGCCCUUUUCUUCCCUGUAAGCCUCUCCGCACUCUUCCCCACCCCCACCUCCACCCCAGCCCUGAUUCUGGCCUCCCACAGCUCAGCGCAGACUGUCCGAAGCUCUGAAAAGGCUACGUUCCGGGCCUAAGUCUAAGAACUGGGUCUACAAGGUGUGUGUUGUGGGUGGGCAGCUUGGGCCUGGGAAUGAGCUGGCUUGAGGGGCAGGGAGGGGGGUACAGGGCUCUGCAUACCGGAUUUCCCAUGCCUGUUUCAGAUCCUUGGAGGUUUUGCCCCUGAGCACAAGGAGCCCACCCUGCCCUCGGACAGCCCACGGCACCUCCCUGAGCCAGAGGGGGGCCUCAAGUGUCUGAUCCCAGAGGGUGCUGUUUGCAGAGGGGAGCUGCUGGGUUCGGGCUGCUUCGGUGUGGUGCACCGAGGGCUGUGGACGCUGCCCAGUGGCAAGAGUGUGAGUGUCCAGGGAUCCCGCUUCAUCCAGGCCAGCUGCCCCCUCUGUUCUUCAUGCCCGCAAUGCCUAAAGGCGCUUCCCCCCACCUCCAGGUCCCAGUGGCUGUCAAGUC